GCACGAGAAAGUGGAGCAAUCCAUGAGUAAAGUGGCGCACGGGUGAGUAACACGUGAAUAAUCUACCUCCGAGUGGGGAAUAACCUAGAGAAAUCUGGGCUAAUACCGCAUAACACUUACGAGUCAAAGCAGCAAUGCGCUUGGAGAGGAGUUCGCGGCCGAUUAGCUAGUUGGCGGGGUAAUGGCCCACCAAGGCGAUGAUCGGUAUCCGGCCUGAGAGGGCGCACGGACACACUGGAACUGAAACACGGUCCAGACUCCUACGGGAGGCAGCAGUGGGGAAUUUUGCGCAAUGGGGGAAACCCUGACGCAGCAACGCCGCGUGGAGGAUGAAAUCCCUUGGGAUGUAAACUCCUUUCGAUCGGGACGAUUAUGACGGUACCGGAAGAAGAAGCCCCGGCUAACUUCGUG
rnacentral:rRNA from 1 species